rnacentral:misc_RNA from 1 species
GAUGAAGAACGCAGCGAAAUGCGAUAAGUAAUGUGAAUUGCAGAAUUCAGUGAAUCAUCGAAUCUUUGAACGCACAUUGCGCCCGCCAGUAUUCUGGCGGGCAUGCCUGUUCGAGCGUCAUUUCAACCAUCAAGCCCCCGGCUUGUGUUGGGGACCUGCGGCUGCCGCAGGCCCUGAAAACCAGUGGCGGGCUCGCUAGUCACUCCGAGCGUAGUAGUUACAUCUCGCUCAGGGCGUGCUGCGGGUUCCGGCCGUUAAACCACCUUCAUAACCCAAGGUUGACCUCGGAUCAGGUAGGAAGACCCGCUGAACUUAAGCAUAUCAAUAAGCGGAGGA